GAUGAACGCUGGCGGCGUGCCUAAUACAUGCAAGUCGAGCGAACGGACGCGAAGCUUGCUUUUUUGAUGUUAGCGGAGGAGGGGUGAGUAACACGUGGAUAACCUACCUAUAAUACUGGGAUAAUUUCGGGAAACCGGAGCUAAUCCCGGAUAAUAUUUUGCACCGCAUGGUUCAAAAGUGAAAGACGGUCUUGCUGUCACUUAUAGAUGGAUCCCCGCUGCAUUAGCUAGUUGGUACGGUAACGGCUUACCAAGGCAACGAUGCAUAGCCGAACUGAGAGAGGGAUCGGCCACACUGGAGGUGGGACGCGGUCAAGACGCCUACGGGAGGCAGCAGUAGGGAAUCGUCCGCAAUGGGCGAAAGCCUGACGGAGCAACGCGGCGUGAGUGAUGAAGGUCUUCGGAUCGGAAAACUCUGUUAUUAGGGAAGAACAUAUGUGUAAGUAACUGUGCACAGCUUGACGGUACCUAAUCAGAAAGCCACGGCUAACUACGUG
rnacentral:rRNA from 1 species